AGAUUCCCACCGGUCUGCAAAACAGCCAAGCGCGGAGGGCCUCCACAGCUGCCACCAUUAGUCGGCCAGCCGGCCUGGACUCAGAAAUGCGUCUGGUGGCUGGACGACGCCACCA